rnacentral:rRNA from 1 species
UGAGUAACCUGCCCUUAACUCUGGGAUAAGCCUGGGAAACUGGGUCUAAUACCGGAUAUGACUCCUCAUCGCAUGGUGGGGGGUGGAAAGCUUUUUGUGGUUUUGGAUGGACUCGCGGCCUAUCAGCUUGUUGGUGAGGUAAUGGCUCACCAAGGCGACGACGGGUAGCCGGCCUGAGAGGGUGACCGGCCACACUGGGACUGAGACACGGCCCAGACUCCUACGGGGAGGCAG